AUGAAUCCAGAGGCGUGCACGAGCGGUGGUGGUCGUCCAUGGAGGGGCGCUAGUUGCCGGAGAAGAGCCACGACACGGGGCUUGGCGAGGAAGGCGGCGCGCAGGAAGAGCAGCUGUAGCAGGGCAGCGUCGCUGCAGGCACGGGAGGAGGAAGGCCCUGGCAGAGGCAGGCGCUGGGCACUCGGGGCGCCGGUGGCGGUCUCCGCAAGGAGAAGGGCGCGACAGGGCCUGGAGGUCAAGGAGGCAGGCAGGAGGGGAUCGAGGUGCAAGCAUACGCAACGAUCAGGCAGGAAGGAGUUCCCGUGGAGGAGCUCCAUGGGAGGCGCGGCUGCUGGGGCUUCUCAUGCAGAGGAGAAGCCGGCGGUGUCUAGGCAUCGGGGAACCACAGCGAGGAGGAGAAGGGAGCAGGGGCGCGCGACUGGGGAAGGUAGGCGGUGGUGGCUUGCUCCGGCGCGGGAAGGUAAGGAAGAAGGGCGCGGUGCUCGAGCACUGCGCGCGCGCGACGACGGCAGCAACGCCAUUACCGGUGACGUCCUUGGCACAACACAGGGGAGGCGGAGCAAAGGAACGGAGUGGCCGGCUGCUCGAGGUCGAGCUCGCGUGCGAGGGGAGAGGGUGAGGGCUCGGGGCGACUGUGCGUGCGAGCGAGAGAAGUGGAUCGGGGGAAGGGAGUGGCUGUGA
rnacentral:rRNA from 1 species